UUUUAAUGGACCUCUCAGAUCUGCAAAUCUAAAACGCUGUCCUGGAAUGGAAGAAUACAGGCCCUGAAGAGGAAACACCUUAUCGAGGACGCAAUCUCCAACAUUGAUGGAUAGCCAGGAGUUGCACAGGAAAUACCACUUCCGGUCCAUCACCAGGUCAUAGACCAGCACCCGGCUCACAUACCUGGAGAAGGGACCCAGAGUUUUGAGGAUAAGGUGGAGCAGGGGAGGAGACUUCACUGGACAUCACCAAGGAAGGGCAGCCCCGUAGGAAUGCAAAAGCCACCUAUGUCAAGGUCACAGGCUUUUCUGGGGCAGCUGACAUCCAGUGAUGCAGUACCUACAGGGAUCAAGACCUGGGUAUUUCAACCCAACUUGGGACAGCUCCAGAGCUCCCCAGUGGUGGACCACACUGUUGCUGGGCUGCAUCACAGCUUGACUUUUCUGCCAUCCUGCCUCCUUCCCUCUGUUCCCAGGUGCUGGUCCCAGGGCCCUGUAAUAAACACCCUGCAUAUGCAACUCCAUCUGAGAGCCUGCUUCCCGGGAGCAACCUACAGCGGCCACGCUUAAAAUAUUAAUGCUUAAUCCCAUAGGUGAAUUAAAGUGCUAUUGUUUUUCUAAAGCCGCCAGCUACUGAUGGGUGGUCAGACUGGACACCACUCAUCUGGGUCACUCAUUUUGGCCUCAGAAUGCAGAGAACCUUGCUCCAAACUUGCCAGCUGUGUGACCUUGGGCAAGUCACAGGUUGAUGCUGCAAAAGGGCCAAGGGUGGGGCUAGCACUGAAGAUGGGGCUAGCUGUAGCUUCCAGUCCUUUUCCUAGCUACCGAUCCAGUUUGUGUGGACCAUGAACCAGUGGGCUUUUCUGACCCUCAGUUUCCUCAUCUGUGAAACAGAGAUCAUUCUAUGUGUCUUGCGGAGGCUUGCGAAGAUCAGGAAGGAGGCAAAUGUACAGUGCCCAGCCCUGGGCCUGUCACUCUGUAGAUUCUCAAGGUUUGUCUGCCCCCAACUCACCACGAUGGCCGGUCCCCUGAGUUGUCAUGCCACAGCCGG
rnacentral:lncRNA from 1 species